rnacentral:lncRNA from 1 species
AGGAAAGAGCAUGUCAAAAAGAAGAGCCAGACAGACACCAAGUGUUCAGAUCCUGACUCAACCUUCUACAGACCAAGAAGCAAGCGAGAGAUCCACUUCAUCCUUCCAACAGACACCAAGUGUUCAGAUCCUGACUCAACCUUCUACAGACUAAGAAGCAAGCGAGAGAUCCACUUCAUCCUUCCAACAGACACCAAGUGUUCAGAUCCUGACUCAACCUUCUACAGACUAAGAAGCAAGCGAGAGAUCCACUUCAUCCUUCCAACAGACACCAAGUGUUCAGAUCCUGACUCAACCUUCUGCAGACCAAGAAGUGAGCAAGAGAUCCACUUCAUCCUUCCAACAGACACCAAGUGUUCAGAUCCUGACUCAACCUUCUGUAGACCAAGAAGCGAGCGAGAGAUCCACUUCAUCCUUCCAACAGACACCAAGUGUUCAGAUCCUGACUCAACUUUCUGCAGACCAAGAAGUGAGCAUGAGAUCCACUUCAUCCUUCCAACAGACACCAAGUGUUCAGAUCCUGACUCAACCUUCUGUAGACCAAGAAGCGAGCGAGAGAUCCACUUCAUCCUUCCAACAGGUAAUUACACAUUAAUUUGUUCCAUUUGGAAUUAA